rnacentral:rRNA from 1 species
CACCGGCAGCUCGAGUGGUAGCCGCGUUUAUUGGGCCUAAAGCGUCCGUAGCCGGUCCGAUAAGUCUCUGGUGAAAGCCCAUAGCUCAACUGUGGGACUCGCUGGAGAUACUAUCGGACUUGAGGCCGGGAGAGGCUGGAGGUACUCCCAGGGUAGGGUUGAAAUCCUAUAAUCCUGGGAGGAGCACGUGUGGCGAAGGGGUCCAGCUGGAACGGGCCUGACGGGGAGGGACGAAAGCCAGGGGCGCGAACCGG